CUACGGGGUGCACCAGUGAGGAAUAUUGCACAAUGGGGGGAACCCUGAUGCAGCAACGCCGCGUGGAGGAUGACGCAUUUCGGUGUGUAAACUCCUUUUAUAUGUCAAGAAAAUGACGGUGGCAUAUGAAUAAGCACCGGCUAACUCCGUGCCAGCAGCCGCGGUAAUACGGAGGGUGCAAGCGUGUACUCGGAAUCACUGGGCGUAAAGGACGCGUAGGCGGGUUGGAAAGUCAGGUGUGAAAUCCUACAGCUUAACUGUAGAACUGCACUUGAAACUUCUAAUCUAGAGUAUGGGAGGGGGAGAUGGAAUUAGUGGUGUAGGGGUAAAAUCCGUAGAUAUCACUAGGAAUACCUAAAGCGAAGGCGAUCUCCUGGAACAUUACUGACGCUAAGGCGUGAAAGCGUGGGGAGCAAACAGGAUUAGAUACCCGGGUAGUC
rnacentral:rRNA from 1 species